UCAACNCGGGGAAACUCACCAGGUCCAGACAUAAUAAGGAUUGACAGAUUGAGAGCUCUUUCUUGAUCUUAUGGGUGGUGGUGCAUGGCCGUUUUUNAGUUCGUGGGGUGACUUGUCUGCUUAAUUGCGAUAACGAACGAGACCUUAACCUGCUAAAUAGCCCGAUCAGCUUUGGCUGGCCGCCGGCUUCUUAGAGGGACUAUCGGUUCAAACCGAUGGAAGUUUGAGGCAANAACAGGUCUGUGAUGCCCUUAGAUGUCCUGGGCCGCACGCGCGCUACACUGACAGAGACAACGAGUUCAUCACCUUGGCCGAAAGGUUUGGGUAAUCUUGUUAAACUCUGUCGUGCUGGGGAUAGAGCAUUGCAAUUAUUGCUCUUCAACGAGGAAUGCCUAGUAAGCGCAAGUCAUCAGCUUGCGUUGAUUACGUCCCUGCCCUUUGUACACACCGCCCGUCGCUACUACCGAUUGAAUGGCUCAGUGAGGUCUUCGGACUGGCCCAGGGAGGUCGGCAACGACCACCCAGGGCCGGAAAUUGAUCA
rnacentral:rRNA from 1 species